UCAAACUUUCAAUUUCAUAUCAUCGUACGUUCUACAACAAUAACUCUUUAGUUUCACCUUCUUGCAUAGCUAAACAACACCAACACAGCACAAAAUCAAAUUCAUGAUGAGAAGCGUCACACAACUUAAUCAUGUUUGUUUCGCAUUUGCAGACGAAACUUAUGCAUCAGAUAUGUUUCAAAUGCACUCAACUCAACCUGAGGU
rnacentral:lncRNA from 1 species